AUUGAACGCUGGCGGCAUGUUUUACACAUGCAAGUCGAACGGUAACAGCACUUCGGUGGCUGACGAGUGGCGAACGGGUGAGUAAUACAUCGGAACGUGCCUAGUAGUGGGGGAUAACUACUCGAAAGAGUAGCUAAUACCGCAUGAGAUCUAAGGAUGAAAGCAGGGGACCUUCGGGCCUUGCGCUACUAGAGCGGCUGAUGGCAGAUUAGGUAGUUGGUGGGAUAAAAGCUUACCAAGCCGACGAUCUGUAGCUGGUCUGAGAGGACGACCAGCCACACUGGGACUGAGACACGGCCCAGACUCCUACGGGAGGCAGCAGUGGGGAAUUUUGGACAAAGGGCGCAAGCCUGAUCCAGCAAUGCCGCGUGCAGGAUGAAGGCCUUCGGGUUGUAAACUGCUUUUGUACGGAACGAAAAGCCCUCUUCUAACACAGGAGGGUCAUGACGGUACCGUAAGAAUAAGCACCGGCUAACUACGUG
rnacentral:rRNA from 1 species